AGGGGCGUAGCUCAACCGGGAGAGCACCGGUCUCCAAAACCGAAGGUUGCAGGUUCGAACCCUGUCGCUCCUG
rnacentral:tRNA from 1 species